rnacentral:rRNA from 1 species
GACGAACGCUGGCGGCGUGCUUAACACAUGCAAGUCGAACGGUGAAAGGGAGCUUGCUCCCUGGAUCAGUGGCGAACGGGUGAGUAACACGUGGGCAACCUGCCCCAGACUUCGGGAUCACGCUUCGAAAGAGGUGCUAAUACCGGAUACGAACUCCUUGGGCAUCCUUGGAGUUGGAAAGUUUUUCGGUCUGGGAUGGGCACGCGGCCUAUCAGCUUGUUGGUGAGGUACCGGCUCACCAAGGCGACGACGGGUAGCCGGCCUGAGAGGGCGACCGGCCACACUGGGACUGAGACACGGCCCAGACUCCUACGGGAGGCAGCAGUGGGGAAUAUUGCGCAAUGGGCGAAAGCCUGACGCAGCAACGCCGCGUGAGGGAUGACGGCCUUCGGGUUGUAAACCUCUUUCAGCAGGGAAGAAGCGAAAGUGACGGUACCUGCAGAAGAAGCACCGGCUAACUACGUGCCAGCCGCCGCGGUAA